rnacentral:rRNA from 1 species
UACGUAGGCAGCAAGCGUUGUUCGGAAUUACUGGGCGUAAAGAGUGUGUAGGCGGUGCUCCAAGUCUGGUGUGAAAUCUCCCGGCUUAACUGGGAGGGUGCAUUAGAAACUGGAAUGCUAGAGGAUGGGAGAGGUAAGCGGAAUUCCUGGUGUAGCGGUGAAAUGCGCAGAUAUCAGGAGGAACACCGGUGGCGAAGGCGGUGGUCUGGGCCGGUACUGACGCUGAGGAGCGAAAGCGUGGGGAGCGAACAGG